UGUUCUAUUUCUUCUUCUGCUACUUCUUCUGCUUUUUUUGCUGCUGCUUCUUCUUCUGCUUUUUCUUCUUCUGCCACAGGCACACUGAGUAAAGUUGGUUUGAGUAAACUGCUAAGAGGAGGGUCUCAGAACCAGAAAUAAAGACUGAAAAUGACGAAGCCGCUUUAAAACGUGAAGACACUUUUUCAGACGCCUAGGACACGCUCUCCACGCCUCAUCUGAGUAGCCCUUAACACGAUGCUUACAUUAUUACACUCAAUUGACACUGACCGCUUUGUUGUGUAUGGUCAUUGCCAGACAUCAUUAUGCAACUUUUUUAAAUUCAAGCAACCUAUAAUCAAGGCAAAUAUUCCUUGACAUUUUAAAGUAGUGAUUAUUUUAUUUUUAUAUUAUUGCCGGUUCUUCAACAACGCAGCAAAAAAUAAAAACAAAACAAAACA